GUUGAACGCUGGCGGCGUGCUUAACACAUGCAAGUCGAUCGGUAACAGGUGUAGCAAUACAUGCUGACGAGAGGCGGACGGGUGAGUAAUGCUUGGGAAUCUGCCUAUUAGUGGGGGACAACCCGGGGAAACUCGGGCUAAUACCGCAUACGCUCUACGGAGGAAAGCCGGGGACCGCAAGGCCUGGCGCUAAUAGAUGAGCCCAAGUCGGAUUAGCUAGUUGGUAGGGUAACGGCCUACCAAGGCGACAAUCCGUAGCUGGUCUGAGAGGACGACCAGCCACACCGGAACUGAGACACGGUCCGGACUCCUACGGGAGGCAGCAGUGGGGAAUCUUGGACAAUGGGCGCAAGCCUGAUCCAGCCAUGCCGCGUGGGUGAAGAAGGCCU
rnacentral:rRNA from 1 species